rnacentral:rRNA from 1 species
GCUCAGAACUUACGGAAUUGACGGGGCCCGCACAAGCGGAGGAGCAUGUGGUUUAAUUCGAUGAUACGCGAGGAACCUUACCUGGGCUCGAACGUAAGAUGACUGUAGGUGAAAGCUUACAUCUCUUCGGAGCAUUUUACGAGGUGCUGCAUGGUUGUCGUCAGCUCGUGCCGUGAGGUGUCGGGUUAAGUCCCAUAACGAGCGCAACCCCUACCUUUAGUUGCCAUCAGGUAAUGCUGGGGACUCUAAAGGAACUGCCUACGCAAGUAGUGAGGAAGGCGGGGAUGACGUCAAAUCAGCACGGCCCUUACGUCCAGGGCUACACACGUGCUACAAUGGCCGAUACAGAGGGCAGCUACCUGGUGACAGGAUGCAAAUCUCCAAAGUCGGUCUCAGUUCGGAUCGGAGUCUGCAACCCGACUCCGUGAAGUUGGAUUCGCUAGUAAUCGCGCAUCAGCCAUGGCGCGGUGAAUACGUUCCCGGGCCUU